CUCCUACGGGAGGCAGCAGUGGGGAAUAUUGGACAAUGGGCGAAAGCCUGAUCCAGCCAUGCCGCGUGUGUGAAGAAGGUCUUCGGAUUGUAAAGCACUUUAAGUUGGGAGGAAGGGUUGUAGAUUAAUACUCUGCAAUUUUGACGUUACCGACAGAAUAAGCACCGGCUAACUCUGUGCCAGCAGCCGCGGUAAUACAGAGGGUGCGAGCGUUAAUCGGAAUUACUGGGCGUAAAGCGAGUGUAGGUGGCUCAUUAAGUCACAUGUGAAAUCCCCGGGCUUAACCUGGGAACUGCAUGUGAUACUGGUGGUGCUAGAAUAUGUGAGAGGGAAGUAGAAUUCCAGGUGUAGCGGUGAAAUGCGUAGAGAUCUGGAGGAAUACCGAUGGCGAAGGCAGCUUCCUGGCAUAAUAUUGACACUGAGAUUCGAAAGCGUGGGUAGCAAACAGGAUUAGAUACCCUGGUAGUCCACGCCGUAAACGAUGAGUGCUAAGUGUUGGAGGGUUUCCGCCCUUCAGUGCUGCAGCUAACGCAUUAAGCACUCCGCCUGGGGAGUACGACCGCAAGGUUGAAACUCAAAGGAAUUGACGGGGGCCCGCACAAGCGGUGGAGCAUGUGGUUUAAUUCGAAGCAACGCGAAGAACCUUACCAGGUCUUGACAUCCUUUGACCACUCUAGAGAUAGAGCUUCCCCUUCGGGGGCAAAGUGACAGGUGGUGCAUGGUUGUCGUCAGCUCGUGUCGUGAGAUGUUGGGUUAAGUCCCGCAACGAGCGCAACCCUUAUUGUUAGUUGCCAUCAUUUAGUUGGGCACUCUAGCAAGACUGCCGGUGACAAACCGGAGGAAGGUGGGGAUGACGUCAAAUCAUCAUGCCCCUUAUGACCUGGGCUACACACGUGCUACAAUGGGAAGUACAACGAGUCGCGAAGUCGCGAGGCUAAGCUAAUCUCUUAAAGCUUCUCUCAGUUCGGAUUGUAGGCUGCAACUCGCCUACAUGAAGCCGGAAUCGCUAGUAAUCGCGGAUCAGCACGCCGCGGUGAAUACGUUCCCGGGCCUUGUACACACCGCCCGU
rnacentral:rRNA from 1 species